GUUCCCAGCCUGGGCUCAUACGACCACAUCCUGUCAAUUGUUUACAAAUCAGUCUUCUCUGACCAAAGGAACACUGACAUCUUACAGGAAAUCAUGUCAGAGCUGGAAGGUCGCAGCUUCACCUGUCAGGACCCUUGUGAUGUUCUGUUCUUUGCUACUGCAAUGAAAAUAUGUAUCGGCAAUAAAGAUCUGGAGCUGGGUUAUAAAGUACAGAGUCUACUAGAAGUGGGGGAGAACUGGAGGCUGCUGGGAGAUCCCUACCAACAGAGUAU